CCUACGGGCGGCUGCAGUGGGGAAUAUUGGACAAUGGGCGAAAGCCUGAUCCAGCCAUGCCGCGUGUGUGAAGAAGGCCUUCGGGUUGUAAAGCACUUUCAGUGGGGAAGAAAGCCUUGGGGCUAAUACCCUCGAGGAAGGACAUCACCCACAGAAGAAGCACCGGCUAACUCCGUGCCAGCAGCCGCGGUAAUACGGAGGGUGCGAGCGUUAAUCGGAAUUACUGGGCGUAAAGCGCGCGUAGGCGGUCUGAUAAGCCGGUUGUGAAAGCCCCGGGCUCAACCUGGGAACGGCAUCCGGAACUGUCAGGCUAGAGUGCAGGAGAGGAAGGUAGAAUUCCCGGUGUAGCGGUGAAAUGCGUAGAGAUCGGGAGGAAUACCAGUGGCGAAGGCGGCCUUUUGGACUGUCACUGACGCUGAGGUGCGAAAGCGUGGGUAGCAAACAGGAUUAGAUACCCGGGUAGUC
rnacentral:rRNA from 1 species